rnacentral:rRNA from 1 species
AGCAGCCGCGGUAAUUCCAGCUCCAAUAGCGUAUAUUAAAGUUGCUGCAGUUAAAAAGCUCGUAGUUGAAUUUCGGGACUAAUAUGUCGGUCGUGCCUCGGUACGUACUGGUAUUUUGGUUUCUCCCUUCUGACGAACCUUGAUGUCAUUAAUUUGGUGUCUUGGGAAAUCAGGACUGUUACUUUGAAAAAAUUAGAGUGUUUAAAGCAGGUUCACGCUUGAAUACAUUAGCAUGGAAUAAUGAAAUAGGACGUUUGAUUCUAUUUUGUUGGUUUCUAGGAUUGACGUAAUGAUUAAUAGGGAUAGUUGGGGGCAUUAGUAUUCAAUUGUCAGAGGUGAAAUUCUUGGAUUUAUUGAAGACUAACUACUGCGAAAGCAUUUGCCAAGGGUGUUUUCAUUAAUCAAGAACGAAAGUUAGGGGAUCGAAGACGAUCAGAUACCGUCGUAGUCUUAACCAUAAACUAUGCCGACUAGGGAUCGGAUGAUGUUAAUUUUUAAUGACUCAUUCGGCGCCUUACGG